AGUGAACGCUGGCGGUAGGCCUAACACAUGCAAGUCGAACGGCAGCACAGUAAGAUCUUGCUCUUACGGGUGGCGAGUGGCGGACGGGUGACGAAUACAUCGGAAUCUACUUUUUCGUGGGGGAUAACGUAGGGAAACUUACGCUAAUACCUCAUACGACCUACGGGUGAAAGCAGGGGAUCUUCGCACCUUGCGCGAUUGUAUUAGCCGAUUUCGGAUUAGCUAGUUGGCGGGGUAAAGGCCCACCAAGGCGACGAUCCGUAGCUGGUCUGAGAGGAUGAUCAGCCACACUGGAACUGAGACACGGUCCAGACUCCUACGGGAGGCAGCAGUGGGGAAUAUUGGGCAAUGGGCGCAAGCCUGAUCCAGCCAUACCGCGUGGGUGAAGAAGGCCUUCGGGUUGUAAAGCCCUUUUGUUGGGAAAGAAAAGCAGUAGGUUAAUACGCAGCUGUUCUGACGGUACCCAAAGAAUAAGCACCGGCUAACUUCGUG
rnacentral:rRNA from 1 species